UUGAGCGAUUUACUUCGGUAAAGAGCGGCGGACGGGUGAGUAACGCGUGGGUAACCUACCCUGUACACACGGAUAACAUACCGAAAGGUAUGCUAAUACGGGAUAAUAUAUUUGAGAGGCAUCUCUUGAAUAUCAAAGGUGAGCCAGUACAGGAUGGACCCGCGUCUGAUUAGCUAGUUGGUAAGGUAACGGCUUACCAAGGCGACGAUCAGUAGCCGACCUGAGAGGGUGAUCGGCCACAUUGGAACUGAGACACGGUCCAAACUCCUACGGGAGGCAGCAGUGGGGAAUAUUGCACAAUGGGCGAAAGCCUGAUGCAGCAACGCCGCGUGAGUGAUGAAGGCCUUCGGGUCGUAAAACUCUGUCCUCAAGGAAGAUAAUGACGGUACUUGAGGAGGAAGCCCCGGCUAACUACGUGCCAGCAGCCGCGGUAAUACGUAGGGGGCUAGCGUUAUCCGGAUUUACUGGGCGUAAAGGGUGCGUAGGCGGUCUUUCAAGUCAGGAGUGAAAGGCUACGGCUCAACCGUAGUAAGCUCUUGAAACUGGGAGACUUGAGUGCAGGAGAGGAGAGUGGAAUUCCUAGUGUAGCGGUGAAAUGCGUAGAUAUUAGGAGGAACACCAGUUGCGAAGGCGGCUCUCUGGACUGUAACUGACGCUGAGGCACGAAAGCGUGGGGAGCAAACAGGAUUAGAUACCCUGGUAGUCCACGCUGUAAACGAUGAGUACUAGGUGUCGGGGGUUACCCCC
rnacentral:rRNA from 1 species